GAGUGGGGGAUAACGUAGCGAAAGUUGCGCUAAUACCGCAUAUUCUGUGAGCAGGAAAGCAGGGGACCGCAGGGCCUUGCGCUCUUUGAGCGGCCGAUGUCAGAUUAGCUAGUUGGUGAGGUAAAGGCUUACCAAGGCGACGAUCUGUAGCGGGUCUGAGAGGAUGAUCCGCCACACUGGAACUGAGACACGGUCCAGACUCCUACGGGAGGCAGCAGUGGGGAAUUUUGGACAAUGGGGGCAACCCUGAUCCAGCCAUGCCGCGUGAGUGAAGAAGGCCUUCGGGUUGUAAAGCUCUUUCGGCCGGGAAGAAAUCGCAUGGGCCAAUACCCUGUGUGGAUGACGGUACCGGAAUAAGAAGCACCGGCUAACUACGUGCCAGCAGCCGCGGUAAUACGUAGGGUGCGAGCGUUAAUCGGAAUUACUGGGCGUAAAGCGUGCGCAGGCGGUUUUGUAAGACAGGCGUGAAAUCCCCGGGCUUAACCUGGGAACUGCGUUUGUGACUGCAAGGCUAGAGUACGGCAGAGGGGGGUGGAAUUCCACGUGUAGCAGUGAAAUGCGUAGAGAUGUGGAGGAACACCAAUGGCGAAGGCAGCCCCCUGGGUCGAUACUGACGCUCAUGCACGAAAGCGUGGGUAGCAAACAGGAUUAGAUACCCUGGUAGUCCACGCCCUAAACUAUGUCAACUAGGUGUUGGGUGGGUAAAACCAUUUAGUACCGUAGCUAACGCGUGAAGUUGACCGCCUGGGGAGUACGGCCGCAAGGUUAAAACUCAAAGGAAUUGACGGGGACCCGCACAGGCGGUGGAUGAUGUGGAUUAAUUCGAUGCAACGCGAAAAACCUUACCUACCCUUGACAUGCCAGGAACUUGCCAGAGAUGGCUUGGUGCCCGAAAGGGAGCCUGGACACAGGUGCUGCAUGGCUGUCGUCAGCUCGUGUCGUGAGAUGUUGGGUUAAGUCCCGCAACGAGCGCAACCCUUGUCGUUAAUUGCCAUCAUUUAGUUGGGCACUUUAACGAGACUGCCGGUGACAAACCGGAGGAAGGUGGGGAUGACGUCAAGUCCUCAUGGCCCUUAUGGUAGGGCUUCACACGUCAUACAAUGGUCGGUACAAAGGGUUGCCAAGCCGCGAGGCGGAGCCAAUCCUAGAAAGCCGAUCGUAGUCCGGAUUGCAGGCUGCAACUCGCCUGCAUGAAGUCGGAAUCGCUAGUAAUCGUGGAUCAGCAUGUCACGGUGAAUACGUUCCCGGGUCUUGUACACACCGCCCGUCACACCAUGGGAGCGGGUUCCGCCAGAAGUAGGUAGCCUAACCGCAAGGGGGGCGCUUACCACGGCGGGGUUCGUGACUGGGGUGAAGUCGUAACAAGGUA
rnacentral:rRNA from 1 species